rnacentral:rRNA from 1 species
CGGGAGGCAGCAGUUAGGAAUCUUCCGCAAUGGGCGCAAGCCUGACGGAGCGACGCCGCUUGGAGGAUGAAGCCCUUCGGGGUGUAAACUCCUGAACUGGGGGCGAAAUCCCUGAUGAGGGGGCUGACGGUACCCGGGUAAUAGCGCCGGCCAGCUCCGUGCCAGCAGCCGCGGUAAUACGGAGGGCGCGAGCGUUACCCGGAUUUACUGGGCGUAAAGGGCGUGUAGGCGGUUUGGCGCGUCUGGCGUUAAAGACCGCGGCUCAACCGUGGGGGUGCGCUGGAUACGGCCAAGCUAGACGGCUGGAGGGGGUGGUGGAAUUCCCGGAGUAGCGGUGAAAUGCGCAGAUACCGGGAGGAACGCCGAUAGCGAAGGCAGCCACCUGGCCAGUUUGUGACGCUGAGGCGCGAGAGCGUGGGGAGCAAACCGGAUUAGAUACCCGGGUAGUCCACGCCCUAAAC